CCUACGGGAGGCAGCAGUGGGGGAUAUUGCACAAUGGGGGAAACCCUGAUGCAGCGACGCCGCGUGAGUGAAGAAGUAUUUCGGUAUGUAAAGCUCUAUCAGCAGGGAAGAAAAUGACAGUACUUGACCAAGAAGCCCCGUCUCACUACGUGCCAGCAGCCGCGGGAAUUCGUAGGGGGCAAGCGUUAUCCGGAUUUACUGGGGGUAAAGGGAGCGUAGACGGUUAUGUAAGUCUGGAGUGAAAGCCCGGGGCCCAACCCCGGGACUGCUUUGGAAACUGUGUAACUGGAGUACAGGAGGGGCAGGCGGAAUUCGUGGUGUAGCGGUGAAAUGCGUAGAUAUCAGGAGGAACACCGGCGGCGAAGGCGGCCUGCUGGACUGAAACUGACGUUGAGGCUCGAAAGCGUGGGGAGCAAACAGGAUUAGAUACCCGUGUAGUC
rnacentral:rRNA from 1 species